GUAACCUUUGUCGGUUAUCCCGAUAUUUUUAGGGUCAGUUUGAUCGAUCCUCCGACGAUGACCGUAAGCAGUUUUUUGGAACAGCUUCUUUGCUCCAGGGACAUGUGAUACCCGAGACUAUACAACGUGCUAACGAACGCUCUGCAGUUUAUUUGUACUAAUCAUUUGAGUCGACCUAAAUCGCACGGCUCGAGUUCCUGUUCGUAAACGAAAAAAGAAAUAUGGCUGGAUUAUACAAGAGACGAAGAAUCGCGUGAAAGAAACGAACCAGAGCGAAGCAUUAUGCAAACAACAAAGUUGUACAAGGAAGAGACUGGCAAAGCAGUCGUUGUAAAAAAGUGAAAAAUGCCGUUUCACCCUCGGACGUCGCCUGUAGCGGAAAAGAGCGAGAUAAUAAAUCGAUACACGGUAGCUGAUAUGUUAUGUGCCCCAUGAAUUUAUGUAUGCGUUUCGCACACGUGAAUGGAAUUUUUAACCCAUGUUUGGGUAAGAAAAUUACAUUUUGAUCCUAUAUU
rnacentral:lncRNA from 1 species